rnacentral:rRNA from 1 species
GAUGAACGCUGGCGGCGUGCCUAAUACAUGCAAGUCGAGCGAACGGACGAGAAGCUUGCUUCUCUGAUGUUAGCGGCGGACGGGUGAGUAACACGUGGAUAACCUACCUAUAAGACUGGGAUAACUUCGGGAAACCGGAGCUAAUACCGGAUAAUUUUUUGAACCGCAUGGUUCAAAAGUGAAAGACGGUCUUGCUGUCACUUAUAGAUGGAUCCGCGCUGCAUUAGCUAGUUGGUAAGGUAACGGCUUACCAAGGCAACGAUGCAUAGCCGACCUGAGAGGGUGAUCGGCCACACUGGAACUGAGACACGGUCCAGACUCCUACGGGAGGCAGCAGUAGGGAAUCUUCCGCAAUGGGCGAAAGCCUGACGGAGCAACGCCGCGUGAGUGAUGAAGGUCUUCGGAUCGUAAAACUCUGUUAUUAGGGAAGAACAUAUGUGUAAGUAACUGUGCACAUCUUGACGGUACCUAAUCAGAAAGCCACGGCUAACUACGU